rnacentral:rRNA from 1 species
UUAUCGGAGAGUUUGAUCCUGGCUCAGGAUGAACGCUGGCGGCGUGCCUAAUACAUGCAAGUCGUGCGGGGGAAGAUCCUUCGGGAUCGGACCCA